rnacentral:rRNA from 1 species
GACGGAGGUUGCAAGCGUUAUCCGGAAUGAUUGGGCGUAAAGCGUUCGCAGGUGGCUAUUCAAGUCUGCUGUCAAAGAACGGGGCUUAACCCCAGAGAGGCAGUGGAAACUGAAUGGCUGGAGUGCAGAUGGGGUAGAGGGAAUUCCCAGUGUAGCGGUGAAAUGCGUAGAGAUUGGGAAGAACACCGGUGGCGAAAGCGCUCUGCUGGACUGCAACUGACCCUGAGGGACGAAAGCUAGGGGAGCGAAAGGG